UACGUAGGGUCCGAGCGUUGUCCGGAGUUACUGGGCGUAAAGCGCGCGCAGGCGGCGGUGCUGGCCCGGCGUGAAAGCCCCCGGCUCAACCGGGGAGGGUCGUCGGGGACCGCACCGCUUGAGGGCGGUAAGGGCUGGUGGAAUGCCUGGUGUAGUGGUGAAAUGCGUAGAGAUCAGGCGGAACACCCGUGGCGAAGGCGGCCAGCUGGGCCGUCCCUGACGCUGAGGCGCGAAGGCGUGGGGAGCGAACGGG
rnacentral:rRNA from 1 species